GCCUUGGAGCUCAGUAGUCACCAGACUCUGACCAGACUGAAUACAGACAGCUCACCAUGAAGCUUCUGCUGAGCUCAGUUUUCCUGUUUGCCAUUUUGAAAGGUGUUCAGGCUGAGGCGCAGCUGGUGGAGUCUGGGGGAGGCUUGGUGCAGCCUGGGGGUUCCCUGAGACUCUCCUGCGUGGGCUCGGGAUUCAACUUUGGAAGUGCUGGCAUGCACUGGAUCCGCCAGGCUUCAGGAAAGGGGCUGGAGUGGAUUGCAAUGAUCUAUUACGAUAGUAGUAAAACGAACUAUGCAGACUCAGUGAGAGGCCGAUUCACCAUCUCCAGAGACAACGCCAAGAGCACGUCCUAUCUGCAAAUGAGCAGCCUGAGACCCGAGGACACGGCUGUGUAUUACUGUGCAGCUUACACAGUGAGGGAACAGCAGUGUGAGCUCAGACAAAAAUCUAUUUGUUGGGGCACUUAUCCCCAUCAGGGGUAG